CCUACCAGUGGAUGGCUCGGUUCAAGUGCCGAAGAAGGG
rnacentral:rRNA from 1 species